rnacentral:other from 1 species
GUUCCCCUGCCUUGCUCGUGAUAGGCGGAAACAUUUUGAGCCAAUAGUUUUGAGCCGGGGGCCUUCCCUGCUCUGGUGUGCAUGACCUCAUUGCGCAGGUAAGCCUAAAGGAGUAAUUUGGGCUCCCACCUUUCAGGUAGGUUCAAGACGCGCCGUCUACACGGCUGGGCGGGGGAAUA